rnacentral:rRNA from 1 species
GACGAACGCUGGCGGCGUGCUUAACACAUGCAAGUCGAACGGAAAGGCCCUGCUUUUGUGGGGUGCUCGAGUGGCGAACGGGUGAGUAACACGUGAGUAACCUGCCCUUGACUUUGGGAUAACUUCAGGAAACUGGGGCUAAUACCGGAUAGGAGCUCCUGCUGCAUGGUGGGGGUUGGAAAGUUUCGGCGGUUGGGGAUAGACUCGCGGCUUAUCAGCUUGUUAGUGGGGUAGUGGCUUACCAAGGCUUUGACGGGUAGCCGGCCUGGGAGGGUUACCGGCCACAAUGGGACUAAGAUACGGACCAGAAGCCAACGGGAGGCAGCAGGGGGGAAUAUUGCACAAUGGGCGGAAGCCUGAUGCAGAGACGCCGGGUGCGGGAUGACGGCCUUCGGGUUGUAAACCGCUUUCGCCGGUGACGAAGCGUGAGUGACGGUAAUGGGUAAAGAAGCACCGGCUAACUACGUG